rnacentral:rRNA from 1 species
CUACGGGGGGCAGCAGGCGCGAAACCUUUACAAUGCACGAAAGUGUGAUAAGGGAACUCUAAGUGCUUACCUUAUGGUAGGCUUUUGCCAAAAUUAAAACCUUUGGCGAAUAAGUGGUGGGUAAGACGGGUGCCAGCCGCCGCGGUAACACCUGCGCCACGAGUGGGAAUCGUAUUUAUUGGGCCUAAAGCGUCCGUAGCCUAUCUGUUAAAUCUUCUGUGAAAUUGUUGUGCUUAACAUAACAACGUGCAGAAGAGACUGACAGAAUUGGAACUGGAAGGAGUCAGAAGUAUGUCUGGGGGAGCGGUAAAAUGUUAUAAUCCCAGAUAGACUACCUGUGGCGAAAGCGUCUGACUAGUACAGAUUCGACGGUGAGGGACGAAAGCCAGGGGAGCAAUCCGGAUUAGAUACCCCCGUAGUC